GAUGAACGCUGGCGGCGUGCCUAAUACAUGCAAGUAGAACGCUGAAGGAGGAGCUUGCUCUUCUGGAUGAGUUGCGAACGGGUGAGUAACGCGUAGGUAACCUGCCUGGUAGCGGGGGAUAACUAUUGGAAACGAUAGCUAAUACCGCAUGACAACAGUUACUGCAUGAUAACUGUUUAAAAGGGGCAACUGCUCCACUACCAGAUGGACCUGCGUUGUAUUAGCUAGUUGGUGAGGUAACGGCUCACCAAGGCGACGAUACAUAGCCGACCUGAGAGGGUGAUCGGCCACACUGGGACUGAGACACGGCCCAGACUCCUACGGGAGGCAGCAGUAGGGAAUCUUCGGCAAUGGACGGAAGUCUGACCGAGCAACGCCGCGUGAGUGAAGAAGGUUUUCGGAUCGUAAAGCUCUGUUGUAAGAGAAGAACGAGUGUGAGAGUGGAAAGUUCACACUGUGACGGUAUCUUACCAGAAAGGGACGGCUAACUACGUG
rnacentral:rRNA from 1 species